rnacentral:tRNA from 1 species
AAUAAGGUGCCUGAAUAAAGGGCUAUCUUGAUAGGAUAGAUCAUGUAAUUUUACCCUUAUUA